UGGUUCUGGCAUCGAUGAAGAACGCAGCGAAAUGCGAUAAGUAGUGUGAAUUGCAGAAUUCAGUGAAUCAUCGAAUCUUUGAACGCACAUUGCGCCCCUUGGUAUUCCAUGGGGCAUGCCUGUUCGAGCGUCAUUUGUACUCUCAAGCUCUGCUUGGUGUUGGGUGUUUGUCUUAUGGACUCGCCUCAAAACAAUUGGCAGCUAGUGUAUUAGUCUUGAGCGCAGCACAUUUUGCGUCUCUCGUUGAUUAAACUGGCGACCAUUAAGCCUUAUUUUAACGCUUGACCUCGGAUCAGGUAGGGAUACCCGCUGA
rnacentral:misc_RNA from 1 species